AUGGCGGCAGCAGCAGGAGCGGCGCCUCUCCUCGGCGAACUCCCGGAUGCCAUCGUCCUCUGGGAGAUCUUGGUCCGCCUGGACCCCAAGUCCAUCCUCCGCUGCCGCGCCGUCCGCCGCGGCUGGCGCAGCGCCACCUCCACCCGCGGCUUCCUCCUCGCCCACCACGCCCGCCAGCCAGCCCUCUCCAUCUUCUCCCACUGUAAGUACAUCGGCAGCGACAGGAAGCAAGACAUCCUCCUCCUCGACCACCAGGCCGCCCAGCUCCACACCGUCGUCCGGUUUGACCAUCCCUACCAACUGGAGGGCUGCUGCGACGUCCUCCUCCUCCUCUCAACCAGGCAUAGCAUUUUGAAUGCCUCUCGCGCCGGCCUCUCCGUCUGCAACCCCACCACGCGUGAGAUGGCCUCCCCCGGGCUACUGCUGGACUUCAACAUCUUGGGGAUGUACCCGCACCGCCCUACCGGCGAGUACCGGCUGCUACUGCAAGGGAGGAAGCACGAGACGACGCAGUGGGACACACCUAGCGACCGAACUGGCUUCUAUGUCCUUGCGCUCGGCUCCCACCAGCCACCGAGGCACGUCGGGUGCGGCUCCGAGACCAAGCUAGUGUCGGCGAUCUUUGAAGCCGGUGUACCUGUCCGGCUGCGUGAUUGCCUGCACUGGUACCGAGUGUUUUAUCGCAACCCAUCGGAGGAGGACACUAGAAGCAAACUGGUAGUAUUUGACACCAUAGCCGAGUCGUUUCGUCAGAUGCGUGCUCCACUUGUUCCCACCAAGUCAUGCAUCUUUGAGAUGGAUGACACGCUUGGCAUCUAUACCUGUAACAGCAUGACCACCGGCCAAGUUGUCGACAUAUGGGUGCUACACAACUACGAAAGUGAGGCUUGGGACUUGAAGUACCGGGUUCGAUUGCCGAUCGCACAAAUCAGGGGGAGGCCUGAAGGUCCUGCUGGUGGUUGGUUUCUGGACGUUGCUUCGGGUGAUGGUAACGCGCUCUUGCUGGUCUGUUUUGGUCGUUCCAUGUUUUACAUUGACACUGAUGGCAAACUGGUUGCUACCUUACGAAGCUGCCAUUCCUGGGAUCAACGGCUGAAGCAAACUCUUGUUCCUCAUGAUUUCUUCGCGGCACUCGAAGGUUAUGCUGUGAAUGGUUCCCCUUUCAUCCCUUCCAUCUGA
rnacentral:rRNA from 1 species